rnacentral:lncRNA from 1 species
AUGGAAUAUAUUGAGCAAACCUGGAGAUAUUAUUGUUGUCAUUGCUGUGGAUCUUUACUGACUUGGCUCGGGACCAGCACUCCUGUUGUUGGACAGAAAGACAUCAACUCAGUGGUAAGUGUUUUGGUUUUCCAAUAUAUUAGCAACUGUCAGUGACAUUUAUAUUAAUCAGGCUGAACUUUAAUCAUACUUUAGAUCAGCCUGUUUUACUUAUUGUUUUAUUUGUGCUUUGGUUUGGGGAAGUUGUUUCUUUACUGAUCUUUUCCUGUCUUCUGUUAUUAGACUUGAGAUGUGACUGCACUAUGCUGUUGCUGGUGACCACAGUUAAUUCUACAAGACAUGCUGUGUAAGUAAACAAACAACAACAGUUUGGUCUGCAUUUCUUGAAAGAUCACAUCCCCCAAACUUAGUUUAGAGUGUCUACACUGUAUAUAGUGAAGUCUGCAAGUUUUCUAACAGCAAAAUUUGUUUUGUGCCCAAAUCAAUGAUUUUGCACAUCAUUAGAAUGAAAGUUAUUGCCCAUGUUUGCAUAGCCCUUUUUAAAAUAAUGCUUUCAUGACAUUAUUGUGUGUAGGGUGGUGGUCACAGCUAUCCAGACUGACAAUUGGGACAUUGAAUGUCACCUCUCCAGUGGGAAGGGAGCCUGAGAUUGUCUAAAUUGGAGUCUGUUUUAUACCAAAUGCAGAAAAAAAUGUUUUAAGAAAGCAAUU